UACGAAGGGUGCAAACGUUGCUCGGAAUUAUUGGGCGUAAAGCGCACGUAGGCGGCUUGGCAAGUCGGAUGUGAAAUCCCUCGGCUCAACCAAGGAAGUGCAUCCGAAACUGCUGAGCUUGAGUACGAAAGAGGAUCGCGGAAUUCCCGGUGUAGAGGUGAAAUUCGUAGAUAUCGGGAGGAACACCAGUGGCGAAGGCGGCAUCCUGGACCGGUAUUGACGCUGAGGCGCGAAAGCUAGGGGAGCAAACGGG
rnacentral:rRNA from 1 species